CGUUACCAAACUGUUGCCUCGGCGGGAUCUCUGCCCCGGGUGCGUCGCAGCCCCGGACCAAGGCGCCCGCCGGAGGACCAACCAAAACUCUUUUUGUAUACCCCCUCGCGGGUUUUUUAUAAUCUGAGCCUUCUCGGCGCCUCUCGUAGGCGUUUCGAAAAUGAAUCAAAACUUUCAACAACGGAUCUCUUGGUUCUGGCAUCGAUGAAGAACGCAGCGAAAUGCGAUAAGUAAUGUGAAUUGCAGAAUUCAGUGAAUCAUCGAAUCUUUGAACGCACAUUGCGCCCGCCAGUAUUCUGGCGGGCAUGCCUGUCCGAGCGUCAUUUCAACCCUCGAACCCCUCCGGGGGGUCGGCGUUGGGGAUCGGCCCUGCCUCUUGGCGGUGGCCGUCUCCGAAAUACAGUGGCGGUCUCGCCGCAGCCUCUCCUGCGCAGUAGUUUGCACACUCGCAUCGGGAGCGCGGCGCGUCCACAGCCGUUAAACACCCAACUUCUGAAAUGUUGACCUCGGAUCAGGUAGGAAUACCCGCUGAACUUAAGCAUAUCAUA
rnacentral:rRNA from 1 species